rnacentral:lncRNA from 1 species
UAGACCCAAAGCUAAUUUGGUUUAAGCUGUGGGAGGAAAAGUUUAGACAUGCAGUUUAGAUCUGAAAACUAAAGGACUUUAUGAUGAAUAGAGCGUCAAAGGAUUUAGGACUAUUGUGUGAAAAAGGUGGGCGGAUGGAAGAAUGAUCAAUGGAAGGUGUUGCGGUUUGGGUAGUAUAUGAUAAUUAUGGGCUAAAUAGAAGUGUCUCACCUCUAUCCUAAUCCAAGAGUCUUUCAGGCGUAUCACUAAGGAAGAAGGGGCCUUUAGAGUCUCACCAAAGGAGGAAGAAGAAGCCACACACCUCUAGAUCACCAGAGCAAGUAAAAGCCAAAUAGUUUUCUGCUUUAUUCUUCGACGUCUACCCUUUAAAUAGAUGUGGUGUUGGCACAAAUUAGAAACUUCAAAACACGACAAAAACUCAAAUUAGACUUAUGGAUAAACUCAAAUACUAAGGACUAAUUAGGACUCCUAACC